AUUGAACGCUGGCGGCAGGCUUAACACAUGCAAGUCGAACGAGUGGCGGACGGGUGAGUAAUGCUUGGGAAUCUAGCUUAUGGAGGGGGAUAACUACGGGAAACUGUAGCUAAUACCGCGUACCAUAGGAUGAGCCCAAGUGGGAUUAGGUAGUUGGUGGGGUAAAGGCUCACCAAGCCGACGAUCUCUAGCUGGUCUGAGAGGAUGACCAGCCACAGUGGGACUGAGAAACGGCCCAGACUCAUACGGGAGGCAGCAGUGGGGAAUAUGGCGCAAUGGGCGCAACCGGAUGCAGCGAUGCCGCGGGAAUGAAGAAGGCCUUCGUGUGGUAAAGUUCUUUCAGUAGGGAGGCGUUACCUACAGAAUAAGCACCGGCUAACUCCGUGCCAGCAGCCGCGGUAAUUC
rnacentral:rRNA from 1 species